rnacentral:rRNA from 1 species
AGAAUUGAUCCUGGCUCAGGACGAACGCUGGCGGCGUGCUUAACACAUGCAAGUCGAGCGAUGAAGUUCCUUCGGGAAUGGAUUAGCGGCGGACGGGUGAGUAACACGUGGGUAACCUGCCUCAUAGAGGGGAAUAGCCUUUCGAAAGGAAGACUAAUACCGCAUAAGAUUGUAGUGCCGCAUGGUACAGCAAUUAAAGGAGUAAUCCGCUAUGAGAUGGACCCGCGUCGCAUUAGCUAGUUGGUGAGGUAACGGCUCACCAAGGCGACGAUGCGUAGCCGACCUGAGAGGGUGAUCGGCCACAGUUGGACUGAGACACGGCCCAGACUCCUACGGGAGGCAGCAGUGAGGAAUAUUGCACAAUGGGGGAAACCCUGAUGCAGCCAACGCCGCGUGAGUGAUGACGGUCUUCGGAUUGUAAAACUCUGUCUUCAGGGACGAUAAUGACGGUACCUGAGGAGGAAGCCACGGCUAACUACGUGCCAGCAGCGGC